UACGAAGGGGGCUAGCGUUGCUCGGAAUCACUGGGCGUAAAGCGCACGUAGGCGGAUUGUUAAGUCAGGGGUGAAAUCCUGGAGCUCAACUCCAGAACUGCCUUUGAUACUGGCGAUCUUGAGUCCGGGAGAGGUGAGUGGAACUGCGAGUGUAGAGGUGAAAAUUCGUAGAUAUUCGGAAGAACACCAGUGGCGAAGGCGACUCGCUGGACAGACAUUGACGCUGAGGUGCGAAAGCGUGGGGAGCAAACAGG
rnacentral:rRNA from 1 species